AGAGUUUGAUCCUGGCUCAGGACGAACGCUGGCGGCGUGCCUAACACAUGCAAGUCGAACGGAGAAUUUCAAUAAGCUUGCUUAGCGAAAUUUUUAGUGGCGGACGGGUGAGUAACGCGUGGGUAACCUACCCAUAAACCCGGGACAACCCUUGGAAACGAGGGCUAAUACCGGAUAAUCUUAAAGCUUGGCAUCAAGAUUUAAGGAAAGGUGGCCUCUGAAGAUGCUACCGAUUAUGGAUGGACCCGCGUCUGAUUAGCUAGUUGGUGGGGUAAAGGCCUACCAAGGCGACGAUCAGUAGCCGGCCUGAGAGGGUGAACGGCCACACUGGGACUGAGACACGGCCCAGACUCCUACGGGAGGCAGCAGUGGGGAAUCUUCCGCAAUGGACGAAAGUCUGACGGAGCAACGCCGCGUGUAUGAUGAAGGUCUUCGGA
rnacentral:rRNA from 1 species